GUAAAAUAUUGACUGGAACAAUAGA
rnacentral:misc_RNA from 1 species